rnacentral:rRNA from 1 species
UACGAAGGGGGCUAGCGUUGUUCGGAUUUACUGGGCGUAAAGCGCGCGCAGGCGGUUCUUCAAGUCAGUGGUGAAAGCCCGGAGCUCAACUCCGGAAUUGCCAUUGAAACUGUAGAACUUGAGGAUGAGAGAGGUGAGUGGAAUUCCCAGUGUAGAGGUGAAAUUCGUAGAUAUUGGGAAGAACACCGGUGGCGAAGGCGGCUCACUGGCUCAUUUCUGACGCUCAGGCGCGACAGCGUGGGGAUCAAACAGG